AACGGCCGUACCAUGCUGAAUAUACCGGUUCUCGUUAGAUCACCGAAGUUAAGCAUCAUUGGGCGCGGUCAGUAAUUGGGUGGGUGGCCACCUGGGAACACUGCGUGCCGUU
rnacentral:rRNA from 1 species